rnacentral:rRNA from 1 species
AUUGAACGCUGGCGGCAUGCCUUACACAUGCAAGUCGAACGGCAGCACGGGGCAACCUGGUGGCGAGUGGCGAACGGGUGAGUAAUGCAUCGGAACGUGCCAUUGAGUGGGGGAUAACGUAGCGAAAGUUGCGCUAAUACCGCAUAUUCUGUGAGCAGGAAAGCAGGGGACCGCAAGGCCUUGCGCUCUUUGAGCGGCCGAUGUCAGAUUAGCUAGUUGGUUGAGGUAACGGCUUACCAAGGCGACGAUCUGUAGCGGGUCUGAGAGGAUGAUCCGCCACACUGGAACUGAGACACGGUCCAGACUCCUACGGGAGGCAGCAGUGGGGAAUUUUGGACAAUGGGCGCAAGCCUGAUCCAGCCAUGCCGCGUGAGUGAAGAAGGCC